rnacentral:rRNA from 1 species
GAACGCUGGCGGCAUGCCUUACACAUGCAAGUCGAACGGCAGCACGGGAGCAAUCCUGGUGGCGAGUGGCGAACGGGUGAGUAAUAUAUCGGAACGUGCCCAGUCGGUGGGGGAUAACGCAGACGAAAGCUGUGCUAAUACCGCAUACGAUCUAUGGAUGAAAGCGGGGGACUCGCAAGAGCCUCGCGCGAUUGGAGCGGCCGAUAUCAGAUUAGCUAGUUGGUGGGGUAAAAGCCCACCAAGGCGACGAUCUGUAGCUGGUCUGAGAGGACGACCAGCCACACUGGAACUGAGACACGGUCCAGACUCCUACGGGAGGCAGCAGUGGGGAAUUUUGGACAAUGGGCGAAAGCCUGAUCCAGCAAUGCCGCGUGCAGGACGAAGGCCUUCGGGUUGUAAACUGCUUUUGUACGGAACGAAACGGUCUGCCCUAAUACGGUGGGCUAAUGACGGUACCGUAAGAAUAAGCACCGGCUAACUACGUG